CCUACGGGUGGCUGCAGUGGGGAAUAUUGCACAAUGGGCGCAAGCCUGAUGCAGCCAUGCCGCGUGUGUGAAGAAGGCCUUCGGGUUGUAAAGCACUUUCAGCGGGGAGGAAGGCGGUGAGGUUAAUAACCUCAUCGAUUGACGUUACCCGCAGAAGAAGCACCGGCUAACUCCGUGCCAGCAGCCGCGGUAAUACGGAGGGUGCAAGCGUUAAUCGGAAUUACUGGGCGUAAAGCGCACGCAGGCGGUCUGUCAAGUCGGAUGUGAAAUCCCCGGGCUCAACCUGGGAACUGCAUUCGAAACUGGCAGGCUAGAGCCUUGUAGAGGGGGGUAGAAUUCCAGGCGUAGCGGUGAAAUGCGUAGAGAUCUGGAGGAAUACCGGUGGCGAAGGCGGCCCCCUGGACAAAGACUGACGCUCAGGUGCGAAAGCGUGGGGAGCAAACAGGAUUAGAUACCCUAGUAGUC
rnacentral:rRNA from 1 species